rnacentral:rRNA from 1 species
UACAGAGGGCUCAAGCGUUGUUCGGAUUCAUUGGGCGUAAAGGGUGCGUAGGCGGCCCGGUAAGUCGGGUGUGAAAUCUUGGAGCUUAACUCCGAAACUGCAUUCGAUACUGCCGUGCUUGAGGACUGGAGAGGAUACUGGAAUUUACGGUGUAGCGGUGAAAUGCGUAGAUAUCGUAAGGAAGACCAGUGGCGAAGGCGGGUCUCUGGACAGUUCCUGACGCUGAGGCACGAAGGCCAGGGGAGCAAACGGG